rnacentral:rRNA from 1 species
UACGUAGGGUGCGAGCGUUGUCCGGAAUUAUUGGGCGUAAAGAGCUUGUAGGCGGUUUGUCGCGUCUGCUGUGAAAAUCCGGGGCUCAACCCCGGACUUGCAGUGGGUACGGGCAGACUAGAGUGCGGUAGGGGUGACUGGAAUUCCUGGUGUAGCGGUGGAAUGCGCAGAUAUCAGGAGGAACACCGAUGGCGAAGGCAGGUCACUGGGCCGCAACUGACGCUGGAGGAGCGAAAGCAUGGGGAGCGAACAGG